rnacentral:rRNA from 1 species
GUUGAACGCUGGCGGCAUGCCUUACACAUGCAAGUCGAACGGCAGCGGGGGAGAAGCUUGCUUUUCCUGCCGGCGAGUGGCGAACGGGUGAGUAAUACAUCGGAACGUGCCCUGUAGUGGGGGAUAACUAGUCGAAAGAUUAGCUAAUACCGCAUACGACCUGAGGGUGAAAGUGGGGGACCGCAAGGCCUCAUGCUAUAGGAGCGGCCGAUGUCUGAUUAGCUAGUUGGUGGGGUAAAGGCCUACCAAGGCGACGAUCAGUAGCUGGUCUGAGAGGACGAUCAGCCACACUGGGACUGAGACACGGCCCAGACUCCUACGGGAGGCAGCAGUGGGGAAUUUUGGACAAUGGGCGAAAGCCUGAUCCAGCAAUGCCGCGUGUGUGAAGAAGGCCUUCGGGUUGUAAAGCACUUUUGUCCGGAAAGAAAUGGCUCUGGUUAAUACCUGGGGUCGAUGACGGUACCGGAAGAAUAAGGACCGGCUAACUACGUGCCAGCCGCCGCAGUAACAC